AUUGAACGCUGGCGGCAUGCCUUACACAUGCAAGUCGAACGGCAGCGGGGGAGAAGCUUGCUUUUCCUGCCGGCGAGUGGCGAACGGGUGAGUAAUACAUCGGAACGUGCCCUGUAGUGUGGGAUAACUAGUCGAAAGAUUAGCUAAUACCGCAUACAACCUGAGGGUGAAAGUGGGGAACCGCAGGGCCUCAUGCUAUAGGAGCGGCCGAUGUCUGAUUAGCUAGUUGGUGGGGUAAAGGCCUACCAAGGCGACGAUCAGUAGCUGGUCUGAGAGGACGAUCAGCCACACUGGGACUGAGACACGGCCCAGACUCCUACGGGAGGCAGCAGUGGGGAAUUUUGGACAAUGGGCGAAAGCCUGAUCCAGCAAUGCCGCGUGUGUGAAGAAGGCCUUCGGGUUGUAAAGCACUUUUGUCCGGAAAGAAAUGGCUCUGGUUAAUACCUGGGGUCGAUGACGGUACCGGAAGAAUAAGGACCGGCUAACUACGUGCCAGCCGCCGCAGUAA
rnacentral:rRNA from 1 species